AUUGAACGCUGGCGGCAUGCCUUACACAUGCAAGUCGAACGGCAGCACGGGAGCAAUCCUGGUGGCGAGUGGCGAACGGGUGAGUCAAGUAUCGGAACGUGCCCAGUCGUGGGGGAUAACGUAGCGAAAGUUACGCUAAUACCGCAUACGAUCUAUGGAUGAAAGCGGGGGAUCGCAAGACCUAGCGCGAUUGGAGCGGCCGAUAUCAGAUUAGGUAGUUGGUGGGGUAAAGGCGCACCAAGCCGACGAUCUGUAGCUGGUCUGAGAGGACGACCAGCCACACUGGGACUGAGACACGGACCAGACUCCAACGGAAGGCAGCAGUGGGGAAUUUUGGACAAUGGGCGAAAGCCUGAUCCAGCCAUGCCGCGUGCAGGAUGAAGGCCUUCGGGUUGUAAACUGCUUUUGUACGGAACGAAAAGGUUUGGCCUAAUAAGCUGAGCUCAUGACGGUACCGUAAGAAUAAACACCGGCUAACUACGUGCCAGCAGCCGCGGUAA
rnacentral:rRNA from 1 species